AGGACGAACGCUGGCGGCGUGCCUAACACAUGCAAGUCGAACGAGGUUAAUCCCCGGUAGCAAUACUGGUGACUGCCUAGUGGCGAACGGGUGAGUAGCACGUGAGCAACCUGCCCCGAAGACCGGGACAACACCGGGAAACCGGUGCUAAUACCGGAUACCCCCACCUAAUCGCAUGAUCUGGUGAGGAAAUGGAUUCCGCUUCGGGAGGGGCUCGCGGCCUAUCAGCUAGUUGGUGAGGUAACGGCUCACCAAGGCUUCGACGGGUAGCUGGUCUGAGAGGACGAUCAGCCACACUGGAACUGAAACACGGUCCAGACUCCUACGGGAGGCAGCAGUGGGGAAUUUUGCGCAAUGGGGAAACCCUGACGCAGCAACGCCGCGUGGAGGAUGAAGUCCCUUGGGACGUAAACUCCUUUCGAUCGGGACGAUAAUGACGGUACCGAGAGAAGAAGCCCGGCUAACUUCGUGCCAGCAGCCGC
rnacentral:rRNA from 1 species